CAGAAGACUAACACUAUUGCAGAGAAGGGACCCACAAGGAACAGUAAUCAAAACAGAGUGGGUUCAGAUAAGCUCCUACUGUACUCCUUUGAGUCUGAACUGUUACUUCUGAAUCCCGGAACCAUGGAGGAGCCAUGUUUCAAGUGGAGAAGUUGUGGAAUGGGGUGGAGGGUGUGACCUGCAUCCUGUGAAAGGACUCAUGGAGUUGGAUGGAGAGAGAUCGGUUGGCAUGCCAUCAUGCGAAGGAGGAAUCCGGAUGAAGUUUGAAGUCAUCAGCAGAAGUAGAAGGUGGAGUCAUGAUAAGGUUAUCGGGGGAAAAGGAGGAGAAAUAGUGUUGUUGGAGCUUCCUCUUCCUGUUCUUCAUCUUCAUCUGUUACUGGGGGAGGCUCAGUCUCUGGUGGUCAAAAAACUGAUGGAGAAGGCAAAGAUAGGAAAGAAGAAAAAAGUAUGAAACUACUCUAAAACUAACAGGCACUACUGAUGAAGAUCUCCAAUCCCAGGCACAGGGUGUGCUGCCGCACCUACAAUGGAGUACCCAUAUGGACAUCACUCAAAGAGCCACCAUUGAUAACUACUUUCUGAAUACGGUUUUCCAACCAAUUGUUCA